UAGAAUGAAGGCUCGAAAUAUUGAUGAGACAAGGUGUCAACUGUUCUCUCGCCAGCCUUUAGCGUCGUUAUCAACAUUAAACCUCUUAGCGCAUCUCCUCUGCCGAGUUAGUUAAAGGCAGUAGCCAACGUUCGAGUACUACGGCGUACGAGAAUGUCCCACGUCUUACGAUGAUAACAGAUCUGACAUCCCCAACGAAUUUAUCUCAGGUGAAAAGCUCCAACGACGCAUCCGCACGAUCCGGGCAACUUGAAUUUUUCAAUGGCGAAAGGGAAAGUGUAGUCUUUUGGGUUGUAGACCAAGAAGCGAUGGAAAAUAUUUUUCUGGACGCACUUGGACUCGUAGCAGGAC